AAUCUUAAUGCUUACCGUACUAAAGCAUUCGCCCGAGAACUACGAGCACAAACGCUUAAAACUCUAAGGACUUGGCGGUGCCACAAACCCACCUAGAGGAGCCUGUCCUAUAAUCGACAACCCACGAUACACCCGACCACUUCUUGCCAAAACAGCCUACAUACCGCCGUCGCCAGCUCACCUCCCUUGAGAGCACAGCAGUGAACACAAUAGCCCUAACCCCGCUAACAAGACAGGUCAAGGUAUAGCCUAUGAAGUGGAAGAGAUGGGCUACAUUUUCUAACAUAGAAAACCCUCACCCCAACUUAACGGAAAGGAGUAUGAAACAACUCCUAGAAGGUGGAUUUAGCAGUAAAGCGGGAUAACAUAAGCCCCCUUUAAACCGGCUCUGAGGCACGUACAUACCGCCCGUCACCCUCCUCACAAGCUCCAACAGCCCAUAAAUAAUACCCCCCCCC
rnacentral:rRNA from 1 species